rnacentral:rRNA from 1 species
CCUACGGGUCGCACCAGUGGGGAAUAUUGCACAAUGGGCGCAAGCCUGAUGCAGCCAUGCCGCGUGUAUGAAGAAGGCCUUAGGGUUGUAAAGUACUUUCAGUUGGGAGGAAGGCGUUGAUGCUAAUAUCAUCAGCGAUUGACGUUACCAACAGAAGAAGCACCGGCUAACUCCGUGCCAGCAGCCGCGGUAAUACGGAGGGUGCAAGCGUUAAUCGGAAUUACUGGGCGUAAAGCGCACGCAGGCGGUUGAUUAAGUUAGAUGUGAAAUCCCCGGGCUCAACUUGGGAACUGCAUUCGAAACUGGCAGGCUAGAGUCUUGUAGAGGGGGGUAGAAUUCCAGGUGUAGCGGUGAAAUGCGUAGAGAUCUGGAGGAAUACCGGUGGCGAAGGCGGCCCCCUGGACAAAGACUGACGCUCAGGUGCGAAAGCGUGGGGAGCAAACAGGAUUAGAUACCCUUGUAGUC